rnacentral:rRNA from 1 species
GAUGAACGCUAGCGACAGGCUUAACACAUGCAAGUCGAGGGGAAACGAUAUUGGAAGCUUGCUUCCGAUAGGCGUCGACCGGCGCACGGGUGAGUAACGCGUAUCCAACCUGCCCACCACUUGGGGAUAUCCUUGCGAAAGUAAGACUAAUACCCAAUGAUAUCUCUAGAAGACAUCACAAAGAGAUUAAAGAUUUAUCGGUGCUGGAAUGGGAUGCGUCUGAUUAGCUUGUUGGCGGGGUAACGGCCCACCAAGGCGACGAUCAGUAGGGGUUCUGAGAAGAAGGUCCACCACAUUGGAACUGAGACACGGUCCAAACUCCUACGGGAGGCAGCAGUGAGGAAUAUUGGUCAAUGGGCGAGAGCCUGAACCAGCCAAGUAGCGUGCAGGAUGACGGCCCUAUGGGUUGUAAACUGCUUUUAUAAGGGAAUAAAGUGAGAGUCGUGACUCUUUUUGCAUGUACCUUAUGAAUAAGGACCGGCUAAUUCCGUGCCAGCAGCCGCCGUAAAAC